rnacentral:rRNA from 1 species
UACGUAGGGGGCAAGCGUUGUCCGGAUUUAUUGGGCGUAAAGAGCGUGUAGGCGGCUUGACAGGUCUGCUGUGAAAACUCGAGGCUCAACCUCGAGAUGUCGGCGGAAACCGUCUGGCUAGAGUCCGGAAGAGGAGAGUGGAAUUCCUGGUGUAGCGGUGAAAUGCGCAGAUAUCAGGAAGAACACCUAUGGCGAAGGCAGCUCUCUGGGACGGUACUGACGCUGAGACGCGAAAGCGUGGGGAGCGAACAGG